UUCCAUUCUGGUUGGACUGUGACAGUUCCAGAAACUAAAGCAAUUCCCCAAACCUAGCAACAUUCCAGACAUAACAGAGUGCAUAAUCACUGGAUUGGAGCCUUCCCUGAAGAAGCACAGCUGUUUCUGAGUCACUCCACGGAACUACGCUUUUGCCUCAGGCCUCAGACGGUGCUGCUUCUCGGCUUGAGUUCCUACCCCAGAACAAAGCCUGACCCAACCUCCUGCGUGACUUUGUUGCCGUUCACCCUCAGUUCUCACUCAAAACUUCAGCUCUACUCCCAACCUUGAAUUGGACCACCAUUGCUGGAACUCCCUCCACAGACCAGGCUGGCCCGGAACUCAGAGAUUUGCCUGCCUCUGUCUCUUGCAUAAUGGGAUUAAAGGUGUGCACACCA